GACGAACGCUGGCGGCGUGCUUAACACAUGCAAGUCGAACGGAAAGGCCCUGCUUUUGUGGGGUGCUCGAGUGGCGAACGGGUGAGUAACACGUGAGUAACCUGCCCUUGACUUUGGGAUAACUUCAGGAAACUGGGGCUAAUACCGGAUAGGAUCUCCUGCUGCAUGGUGGGGGUUGGAAAGUUUCGGCGGUUGGGGAUGGACUCGCGGCUUAUCAGCUUGUUGGUGUGGUAGUGGCUUACCAAGGCUUUGACGGGUAGCCGGCCUGAGAGGGUGACCGGCCACAUUGGGACUGAGAUACGGCCCAGACUCCUACGGGAGGCAGCAGUGGGGAAUAUUGCACAAUGGGCGGAAGCCUGAUACAGCAACGCCGCGUGCGGGAUGACGGCCUUCGGGUUGUAAACCGAUUUCGCCUGUGACGAAGCGUGAGUGACGGUAAUGGGUAAAGAAGCACCGGCUAACUACGUG
rnacentral:rRNA from 1 species